AGAAAAGUACAAUCCUAGCUGGGCACAGCGGCUCAUGCCUGUAAUCCCAGCACUUUGGGAGGCUGAGGUGGGCGGAUCACCUGAGGUCGGGAGUUGAGACCAGCCUGACCAACAUGGAGAAACCCUGUCUACUAAAAAAUACAAAAAUUAGCUGGGCGUGGUGGCGCAUGUUUGUAAUCCAGCUAAUCCGGAGGCUGAGAUCUGCAGGCAGGCCCUGAAGUUUCUGACACAGAUCCGGGCCCAGCCCCUCAUCAACCUGCAGAUGGUGAACGCGUCUCUGUACGAGCAUGUGGAGCGGAUGCACCUCAUUGGGAGGAGACGGGAGCAGCUGAAGCUCCUGGGGGAUUACCUGGGCCUGUGCCGGAGUGGCGCCCUGAAGGAGCUCAGCAAGAGGCUCAACCACAGGAAUUAUCUCUUGGAAUCUCCGCAUAGGUUCAGUGUUGCUGACCUCCAACAG
rnacentral:misc_RNA from 1 species